AGAAGCACACGGGGACAACAAGAGGGGGCCCGGUGUCCACCCGGCCUCUUCCAGGGUCGGGGCAGGGGUGCGUGGUGGAGGUCCCUGCUGUUUUCCGUUUUCCACGCUUCGUGAUUUACAAGGUGCAGGGAACGGGGCGCCCACUUGCCCACCUGAAGUACGAAAAUGCAAUUUAUGGGAAGCCCAGUUGUGAAAAUGAUCCAGCCCUGCCCCUGGAUGAGACCCAGAGGGUGUGCACGGCCAGUGCAGACACCCUGAGGCAGCUGGGGGACCCAGGACCGUGCUCUCUCCUAUGUCCCCGUCUCCCUGUGCACCUCCCAAAGGAACGCCACCACCCAAGAGGCCCGGGACCUGCCGCUCAGAAAGGGUACGGUAGAUGUGAUGCCCUCACGGCCUCCUCUAGAUACGGAUGCGUCCUUCCUUAUUCUGACGAGGACGGCGGACCCCAGGACCAACUGAAAAAUGCCAUCUCCUCCAUUCUGGGCACCUGGCUGGACCAGUACUCAGAGGACUUCUGUCAGCCCCAGACUGGUCUGUGUCCCAUCUGAAAGCAGCAGGGGGUGAAGGCAGAACGUUGAAGACGGCCGGGCAGGGCUGUGAUGCGUCCGGGCCGGCUGCCGGUCGCUGUCUUUGCAGAGCAAACUCAGGAGAUCGGCAGGAAGCUGGUCAGCGGGGACGCCUACUCCCUCUUCUCGACUGAGGGGCAGGUGCAUGAAACCACCAGCGUGGGCCAGUGUGGCUCAGGACGAGUGCGGCCACCGAGGGCUUUCCAGAUCCAGGGACUGGAGAUGGCCAGGAAAGUCGUCCUGUCCAGAUGCCACCCAGGCCGCCCCCAAAGCCCUCGUUCUCCAGACUCGGCCUGAGGAGCCGGAGUCCACGGAGGCCGAGCUGAGGGCCGGAAGGCUGGCGGUGGACGCAUAUGGGUGUGUGGGGCCGGGCGCUGCUGGGCCAGGCAGAGAGGAGCCCCCAGAGGCUGGUGUGGGACCAGGAGCUAAGACCGGCCUCAGAGCACCCAGUGGGGGACCGCGGUCCGGAAGAGGUCCAGGUGUGGGUUCCUGGGCAAGAGCUUCUGGAAAAGGCAGCAGGAUAGUCCUUUCUUCGGAAACGCCUGUCCGGAAGGCAGGCGUGUUGAUCUCCUCUUGCGUCAUCUCUGGAGCGAGCGGCGGUCCCGGCCCCGGAUCCUCUCGGAUCUGAAGAUGGAGAUUCAGCUGCAGAAGCAGCAACGGAACUGAAGCCGCAUCCAGAGCCGGCGGCAUUUCCAUCGAGAGCAGGAGUCCCUCCUCCAGACCAGGAGCCACCUGCACCCAGCGGCGCCCGCCUUCUGCUGCGGCCCCAGGAGAACCCAAGCCAGGGCCCCACCCACUGGGAACGUAGACCCGACCUCUGCGCUCCAUCUUGCAGAAGACCUGGAGCCAGCUGGGCACCCAGCAGCCCUGCAGGGAGAGCCUGCCCCUGCCCCCCUCCGUCC